AAAAAAAACUCUAGAGUUUGUGACUGGUCAUUAAGGCCUUUUCAGGCCUGGUCAUUAAAAGGUUAACCAAUAAGUGCUUUCCCGGCUAGUAAAGUCUCAUACACACAACCGUACCCUUUCUUUUGGUCCGCAGGACACCAGCCAUGUG